GCCUUCGUGGUGUAGUGGUCAACAAGCUCGAUGCGUAACCGAGAGGUCCGUGGUUCGAUUCCCGGCGAAGGCG
rnacentral:tRNA from 1 species